UCAGAGAACCAAGAGCCUCCCUUGUGCUGCUGUCCCCUUGGAUCACAAAGGGUUAGCCCAACUACUGAAAACAGAAAUACCUGAAGAAGAUUUGUUCAUCAUUCAAAUGAAUAAUCAAAGAGAGAUCUGGCCACCUCGGGGUUUGCUCUAACUCUGAUGCUAUAAAGAAACAGCAACACUGAGGAAGCAAAACAGAUUAUCCUUGUGUGCCACAAAGAAAACUCUAUUGAGAUCUUCACAUUUCUACUCAAAGAGUAUUGCCCAUCUGCCUUUUUGAUCUGAACAGAUGCUGUCUUUCAUCUGAACAGAAAGAAAAUGGAGGUCCAGAGGACUCAAGUGACUUGUCCAAGGUCACGCAAGUAUGAUAGGGAUUUAAGCCUGAUUCUCUGACUCCAGAUGCAGCACAUUUUUUAACUAUACUUCACUGUCUCUAUUGACUUUGGGGCUAUGCUAGAUGCAAGAGGAAAACCAGAGAAGGAAAAGAGUUUGGAGAAUGGACAAAUGAACAACAAUAGCAACGACAACAAAGGGUCAAUAUGUAAUUAAAAACCAAGAUAAGUGCAGGAAUUCUUAAGGCAAUAAAUGAGUUUAACUCACCAGACCCAGAUGCAGUAACAUAAAAUAUCUUAGGGCAGAUGUGACCACUGAGCUGCUGUCGGUGAACAUGGAAAGAUCUUGUAGGAAAGGGUGAAGUCUUCUAAUUCUGACUUUGAUUUCUAGCAGAAUUCUGGGAUGAUUCAUUAUCAUUUAGCGGGGAAUGCUAUAGUGAUUACUAAGCCCCAGUACGGUUUCAUCAAGAAGAGAACAUAUACAGUUAUCCCUUCCACAUUGCAGGG